rnacentral:rRNA from 1 species
UACGUAGGGUGCGAGCGUUGUCCGGAAUUAUUGGGCGUAAAGGGCUCGUAGGCGGUUUGUCACGUCGGGAGUGAAAACUCGGGGCUUAACCCCGAGCCUGCUUCCGAUACGGGCAGACUAGAGGUAUGCAGGGGAGAACGGAAUUCCUGGUGUAGCGGUGAAAUGCGCAGAUAUCAGGAAGAACACCCGUGGCGAAGGCGGCUCUCUGGAACGCAACUGACGCUGAGACGCGAAAGCGUGGGGAGCGAACAGG